rnacentral:rRNA from 1 species
GACGAACGCUGGCGGCGUGCUUAACACAUGCAAGUCGAACGGUGAAGCUCCAGCUUGCUGGAGUGGAUCAGUGGCGAACGGGUGAGUAACACGUGAGCAACCUGCCCCUGACUCUGGAAUAAGCGCUGGAAACGGCGUCUAAUACUGGAUACGAGAAGGGUCCGCAUGGGCACUUUCUGGAAAGUUUUUCGGUUGGGGAUGGGCUCGCGGCCUAUCAGCUUGUUGGUGAGGUAAUGGCUCACCAAGGCGACGACGGGUAGCCGGCCUGAGAGGGCGACCGGCCACACUGGGCCUGAGACACGGCCCAGACUCCUACGGGAGGCAGCAGUGGGGAAUAUUGCACAAUGGGCGAAAGCCUGAUGCAGCGACGCCGCGUGAGGGAUGACGGCCUUCGGGUUGUAAACCUCUUUCAGCAGGGAAGAAGCGAAAGUGACGGUACCUGCAGAAGAAGCACCGGCUAACUACGU